CUCCUUGGGGAAUGCCUUAACCAUGAGAAGGUUAUGGAGCAGCAGGGCUACUGUUGAAGACUCUUUUCUUAUACUGACUACAAGAGGCUGGGAGAUGAAGAAAGUCCUGAAGAGAGGGCAUCUGUCAUCCAUUUUCUGGUGUUUGCUCCUGAAUAGACCUUUACCAUGUUCCAUUUCACACAGCACUGCAAACAAGAUAAUGAGUGAUUAAUGUACUCUGGUAACUCCAUGGGCACGCUGAGCGACACGCCAGCUGCUCCUGCUGAAGCCCAGGGAACGGUGUGUGAGCAGUGAAAGGUGCACCUUUCUGUAAUGUGUGUGAUGAUGGGGAGUCAAUAUGAGUCUGCUUCUGUUGGCUGGAAGUGUGGGAAUGUGCACCACCGUGGGACCAGGUACCAGGGAAGCUGGAAGACCUUCUUGUCAAUCUUCUUGUCACUCGCCUAUUCCCACGACUGUAAUUGUUGAAGAUAUUAACCAUUUUUCAGACGUGGCUACUCGACACAAAGCUUUCAGGAAACCAAACCAGAAAUCUGCAGAGCUGGAAAGUUGAUAUUGGCUGAGAACAGCAGGUAUAGCAGUGAGAAAAUCUUCUUGAUAACCUGGGGCUGCUCCAGGACAGAAGGAAAGGUGCCUCCACUGCCAGGACUGCCCCAUCAGCCACACCACACCGGCCAUGAAAACAUGGCAGGCUCUUCUCCAAGGGUUAAAGUUUUAAGUCACAACUUUCACUGCAGUUUGCACUUAUGCCUAAUUAACUCAAAAUUAAUGGUCCAGCACCUAGUCCAACAGUUAUGCUCAAUGGUGCAGAAAAAAAAAUCUCUCUUUUAUGUUCAGGAUAAUACUUUUUUCCUAGAACAGUGUUGGUUAGUCUUGAAGACCAAAGAAUUGUAAGCAUAACUUCAGUGUAUACACUUAUUUUGCUUUUGUUUCUUGUGCAAUUG